UACGUAGGGUGCGAGCGUUGUCCGGAAUUAUCGGGCGUAAAGAGCUCGUAGGCGGUCUGUCGCGUCGGUCGUGAAAACUUGGGGCUUAACCCUGAGCUUGCGGUCGAUACGGGCAUGACUGGAGUUCGGCAGGGGAGACUGGAAUUCCUGGUGUAGCGGUGAAAUGCGCAGAUAUCAGGAGGAACACCGGUGGCGAAGGCGGGUCUCUGGGCCGAUACUGACGCUGAGGAGCGAAAGCGUGGGGAGCGAACAGG
rnacentral:rRNA from 1 species